rnacentral:hammerhead_ribozyme from 1 species
AUUCAGCUGGCGAGUCUUAAAUAGGACGAAAGGCGCAUCCUGGAU